rnacentral:tRNA from 1 species
UCCCUGGUGGCUCAGACGGUAAAGAAUCUGCCUGCAAUGCAGGGGACCUGGGUUCAAUCCCUGGUUGGGAAG